UAUUAGCUUCAGAAAGCACCGCUUCAGAAAGCUGCACUGCUUGUGAAAAAAGGGGUGGGGGGUGGGGGGGGGCUUAACGUAGCUUAAUGUCCCAAAACUUACAUUACACAUACAACGAACCUACAAACAUUUUCAUGUUCUCCAUCGGACUUCCUGAAACACACCCACAAGUCAGAUGGCAUUUCGCAUUAUCCUGUGGGUGGAUCCUAUCCCGAGUUUCAUGUAACAUUAACCAGUAAGUGCAUUGAGUCAGUGCUGCAGAAUGAAGCUGUCAAGUAGCCAGUGUCUCGUGUGAUGUUUUUGAGGCGUUAUACUCGAAACUGAAAUUCGUACUAGGCCUACAGUAGUAGGCUACAGAAAAACAUCGAGAAUGACUUCAUCUUUGGGCGACGGAGACCCGCUAGAUAAUGGAAAUACAUCGAUGACCGAUACCUACUGUAUUGUUUGUAUGGACAAUAUACAAGACAAAAAAACCUUGAAAUGUUCCCAUUCCUUUUGCUCAAGUUGCAUAGACGAUGUAUUCAGAGUAAAACCUGCGUGUCCGGUUUGUAAUGCGUUUUAUGGGACCUAUUAUGGUACUCAGCCUCGGGAUGGAGUCAUGAAAGUGACCCGCACUUGGCAAUGUUUACCUGGGUAUGAAGGCUGUGGAACUAUUGCUAUCAACUACAGUUUUCCACCAGGCAUCCAAGGGCCUGAACAUCCAAACCCUGGCAAACGUUAUGCAAGCACAUCCAGACAGGCUUUCCUACCCGCCUGUGAGGAGGGUGAGCAGGUCCUCCAGCUGCUGAAGACGGCUUUUAAACGCAGGCUCAUCUUCACUGUGGGAACCUCUGCCACCACAGGACUCUCCAAUUCCAUCACCUGGAACGACAUUCAUCACAAGACUAACAUCGGUGGAGGCCCUGCAAUCUUUGGGUACCCAGAUCCAAGCUACCUCAAGCGGGUUAAGGAGGAGCUGUACCUGAAGGGAGUUACUGAAGCAAGCCUGGAGCACUCACCCAUGGAGAGCCCAGUUUGAGAGGCCGUCGUCAGUGUUUACCAGAGCCCUUAUCUGUUACGAUCAAAGCCGAUCGACGAUCAAUUGUGUCAUAAGACUUCAAAAGCAAAGUACUGGAAUGGAGUACAGUGGAGUACAAACAGUGACUCAGAGAAGGGCACAGCCUCAGUGGACAAGGGAGAGGAGAGUGAGAGAUGCGCCAGUGCUGCUGCUGAUGACUCAUGUUUCCAUGGAUGGACCUCUGUUCUUUUGGGACAUGCUGGUAAUCUGAACCAUUUGCUGCCGGCUAAACUGUCUCUUGUCAUCAUUUGGUCUGUCCAUCUGUACCCAAGUGGUGAACAGACAUUUGAUGUUAAUGCCAUCGUUAUCAUUUUGAUACUAGGGUUGUAGCACUUAAAAAAGCCAGUAAACUUACACUUUUAGUCAAAUAUGGGUGCAGCUUUUGAGUUUUAAUACAUCCAAUAUAGAAGCUGUUAUUUAAGUGCCAACAGAAAUGCUUACUGCCAGGUCAUUAGCUGAACCAAAUUGUACCUGUGCUAUUCUCAUCUGUAGCUGCUGGCCUCUGAAUGGGGAUGAGCUGUGUGUUAUAGUGUUUUGGGGAUUGCUGAGGAGUAGUGUUUCUCUAGUUGUGGAGGUUCAGAGGUUUUGUGGUUUCUGGUUUGUCCUUGAAUGAAUUAUUUAUGUGUGUGCAUGUUUGUGCCUCUGACGAUGGUAGUGUGAUUUGACCAGUCAUGUCAAACUGAUCUCAUUUAACAGUGGGUGGGCUACACAAACAAUAGCAUUGUGUUUACCAACAGCACAGCAAACAGUGUUAGAAAAAGAAGAAAAAACUGGUUUGAAGAGAGCAACAGUGACUUGUCACUGGAAUUGGAGUGAUAUGCUCUUUACCCAUAUCUGACAUUGUCUCAUGCAGUGUACAACACUCCUGUCUGAAGACAUCACUGCAUCUCAGUCUUGCACAGCGAAACCAUUCAUCUGAGAGGAUACAUGUCAGGCUCUGCCCGUGUAACAGGCUCAUGGAGUUUUUCUUUUUUUGGAAGGGGGGAGGGUGAAGGUAAUGGAAAUGUGUGCACACUUAAUUGAUAUCAAUGUUAUGUUUAUAUCAAUGUUAUGUUUAUAUCAAAACCAAGUUAUUGUUAACAUUUUAAAUCAGUUUUGCUCAUGGGUCAAUCAGUAUCAGAUCAGAUAAGGUUGCUCCUGUACUGUCUCUGAUUUUUCAAACUUUGUCUAUAAUAUGAACAUGAUGGGUCCCAAGGUCAGUAAAACAGUCUUCAUAUUUUUUAAGCCCUUGAUAUUACCUAAAUUUGGCAGCCUGAAAACACAUUAUCUUGGAAGCUAUGUUCGGGCAUUAAUAUCUUGAAAGUUAUUACUCAUAGCCAAUCCAACCUUUGUAGGAUGGAAGACAAACCUGUUCUCGACAUCACCAUUAAACGUUUGGAUAGCAUGCUCAUUGAUCAGCAAGGCCCUGAAAAAAGAGCAAAAAGAGGUUUUAAAAAAAGAGGACAUUAAAGGUUAUUUUCAAAAGACUAAAGUGGCACGUGGGGUAGCUAACUUGGAAAUGUGGAAGUAGCUCAAAUGUAUGGACAUUUAGCGUACAAAGUAUCAAUGUUGUACCAUAGAUCAUAGGUUCUCAACCUUUUUGGUGCUCACCAAAGAUCAUACCAAAAUGAAGGCACAUUAGCUUAUGGUUACUGAUUGUAAAGUAUGGCACACACAUUAUUAUUACCUAGGCAAUAGCAGGAGUUUUCAUUCUCAUGCCCAUAUGUUUCUCUAUACAGUAUGUACAGUGUGGGCAGCCGUGGCCUACUGGUGAGCGCUUCGGACCUGUAACCGGAGGGUUGCCAA